GCGAACGCUGGCGGCAGGCUUAACACAUGCAAGUCGAACGGGCACUUCGGUGCUAGUGGCAGACGGGUGAGUAACACGUGGGAACGUACCUUUCGGUUCGGAAUAAUACAGGGAAACUUGUACUAAUACCGGAUACGCCCUUCGGGGGAAAGAUUUAUCGCCGAUUGAUCGGCCCGCGUCUGAUUAGCUAGUUGGUGAGGUAAUGGCUCACCAAGGCGACGAUCAGUAGCUGGUCUGAGAGGAUGAUCAGCCACACUGGGACUGAGACACGGCCCAGACUCCUACGGGAGGCAGCAGUGGGGAAUAUUGGACAAUGGGCGCAAGCCUGAUCCAGCCAUGCCGCGUGUGUGAUGAAGGCCUUAGGGUUGUAAAGCACUUUUGUCCGGGAAGAUAAUGACUGUACCGGAAGAAUAAGCCCCGGCUAACUUCGU
rnacentral:rRNA from 1 species